rnacentral:rRNA from 1 species
UACGUAGGGUGCAAGCGUUGUCCGGAAUUAUUGGGCGUAAAGAGCUCGUAGGCGGUCUGUCGCGUCUGCUGUGAAAACUCGGGGCUUAACCCCGGGCCUGCAGUGGGUACGGGCAGACUAGAGUGCGGUAGGGGAGACUGGAAUUCCUGGUGUAGCGGUGAAAUGCGCAGAUAUCAGGAGGAACACCGGUGGCGAAGGCGGGUCUCUGGGACGGUACUGACGCUGAGACGCGAAAGCGUGGGGAGCGAACAGG